rnacentral:rRNA from 1 species
GAGGCGAAGUCUGACCGAGCACGCCGCGUGAGUGAAGAAGGUUUUCGGAUCGUAAAACUCUGUUGUUAGAGAAGAACAAGGACGAUAGUAACUGAUCGUCCCCUGACGGUAUCUAACCAGAAAGCCACGGCUAACUACGUGCCAGCAGCCGCGGUAAUACGUAGGUGGCAAGCGUUGUCCGGAUUUAUUGGGCGUAAAGCGAGCGCAGGCGGUUUCUUAAGUCUGAUGUGAAAGCCCCCGGCUCAACCGGGGAGGGUCAUUGGAAACUGGGAGACUUGAGUGCAGAAGAGGAGAGUGGAAUUCCAUGUGUAGCGGUGAAAUGCGUAGAUAUAUGGAGGAACACCAGUGGCGAAGGCGGCUCUCUGGUCUGUAACUGACGCUGAGGCUCGAAAGCGUGGGGAGCAAACAGGAUUAGAUACCCUGGUAGUCCACGCCGUAAACGAUGAGUGCUAAGUGUUGGAGGGUUUCCGCCCUUCAGUGCUGCAGCAAACGCAUUAAGCACUCCGCCUGGGGAGUACGACCGCAAGGUUGAAACUCAAAGGAAUUGACGGGGGCCCGCACAAGCGGUGGAGCAUGUGGUUUAAUUCGAAGCAACGCGAAGAACCUUACCAGGUCUUGACAUCCUUUGACCACUCUAGAGAUAGAGCUUUCCCUUCGGGGACAAAGUGACAGGUGGUGCAUGGUUGUCGUCAGCUCGUGUCGUGAGAUGUUGGGUUAAGUCCCGCAACGAGCGCAACCCUUAUUGUUAGUUGCCAUCAUUCAGUUGGGCACUCUAGCGAGACUGCCGGUGACAAACCGGAGAAGGUGGGGAUGACGUCAAAUCAUCAUGCCCCUUAUGACCUGGGCUACACACGUGCUACAAUGGGAAGUACAACGAGUCGCUAAAUCGCGAGUCAUGCUAAUCUCUUAAAGCUUCUCUCAGUUCGGAUUGCAGGCUGCAACUCGCUGCAUGAAGCGAUCGCUAGUAAUCGCGGAUCAGCACGCGCGUGAUACGUCCGGCUGUAC